rnacentral:rRNA from 1 species
GACUACAUGAAGCUGGAAUCGCUAGUAAUCGCGGAUCAGAAUGCCGCGGUGAAUACGUUCCUGGGUCUUGUACACACCGCCCGUCACACCAUGGGAGUCGGAAAUGCCCGAAGUCUGUGACCCAACCGCGAGGAGGGAGCAGCCGAAGGCAGGUCGGAUGACUGGGGUGAAGUCGUAACAAGGUAGC